CGUGUAUGAUGAAGGUCUUCGGAUUGUAAAGUACUGUCUUUGGGGAAGAAUGACUGGCUUGAAAAUAUUGAGUCAGUAUGACGGUACCCAAGGAGGAAGCCCCGGCUAACUACGUGCCAGCAGCCGCGGUAAUACGUAGGGGGCAAGCGUUGUCCGGAAUUAUUGGGCGUAAAGGGCGCGUAGGCGGAUUUUUAAGUCCGGUGUGAAAGAUCAGGGCUCAACCCUGAGAGUGCAUCGGAAACUGGGGAUCUUGAGGACAGGAGAGGAAAGUGGAAUUCCUAGUGUAGCGGUGAAAUGCGUAGAUAUUAGGGAGGAACACCAGUGGCGAAGGCGACUUUCUGGACUGUAACUGACGCUGAGGCGCGAAAGCGUGGGGAGCAAACAGGAUUAGAUACCCUGGUAGUCCACGCCGUAAACGAUGAGUGCUAGGUGUAGAGGGUAUCGACCCCUUCUGUGCCGG
rnacentral:rRNA from 1 species